GGACGAACCAGAAGAGCCUUCAGCUUGUGGAUCAGGCAGUCGGCUUCCGGUCAAAUCCCUGGCCGGGAUCUUCUUCUGCCGGGAAGGAAUUGAGAGCAGUGACUGCAGCCGAAGGCGGGCCAAUACGGCAGCGCUUCUCGACCAUCUCAUCAACCGCGGAGGGGUCGCCGGAGAAGAGGGCCUCGACGGUGCCGUCGCGGCGGUUGCGCACCCAGCCGUUGAGGCCGAGCUCCUGGGCG
rnacentral:misc_RNA from 1 species